GUCAUUUCUUAAUAUUUUUUAUGCAAAAAAACCUUCCAUUACAGUAUAGUCUCGCUAUACGGUCGUGUAAAUAUGAAGAAACUUCUAAAAUUGUCACAACUAUUAUAAUUAGAAAAAAAGGAUAACCACCAUAUCCAAAUCACUAAUAUUAAAAUUUUAAAUUUUUUAGCUGUAAACAUUUGUUGUUCAUCAAUCACACAGAAGUAACUGUCAGAUGUCAUGAAAAAUACUAAACUCACCAGCAUCUCUUUCUGCAAGAACU
rnacentral:misc_RNA from 1 species